rnacentral:rRNA from 1 species
AUGCAGCUCGUCACCUGCGGUCGGACCGCGGUUAACAUUAACGGCGAGACCGAGCCAUACUUCCCCACUCUUUGUGGGGUUCGCCAGGGCGACCCGUUCUCACUGUUUCUGUUUAACAUGGUGGUCGAUGCCCUUGCCGUCAUCCUGGAUAAGGCCAAAUCUGCUCGCCAUAUCCAUGGCGUA